UUGCAGUGAUGCAUUUUAUUAAUCAGCACAUCAUUCUGAAAUCAGAUGUGUAGCAAUACUGAACACA